AUGCUCAACAGAAUUAAUUAUAACAAUGUUUCAUGUGGUCGUGGAGAAUUAUUUGGUUCAAUUUAAGACGAAAAAUGCUUGAUGAGAAAAGGAAAAUUGGAAAAAAAGGGAUAUCGAAUUCAUCAUCUACAGUAGAUUUUUUUUACCUUGCGUCUAUAAUUAUUCAAAAUGGAUCCAAUUAAAUUAUUGCUGGGAGUAGUCUAAAUAUAAGACAGUUUGACAAAUUUUGUAGUAUUUAUAUUAGCAGUGGAACAUGGAUACAGGAAAGUUUCACUAAGGAAGAAAAACGUUAUAUAUAUCGAUUUGUCGAUUGGGCGUAUAAAUCGCUUUGUCCUGCUUAUAACACUGACACAGCUCUGAAGAUGAAAGCCGAAAAGUGUCAGCCAAAUCUGUAAAGUGAGGAUAGGCAGUCCAAAAUGAUGGACACCGGAAAUGACAACUACAAGCACAUCACGCAGAACCCAAGAGGAAAUCUCACACCAUAUUAAAAUAAUCAGUAAACCCUGAUACAUUGUAGUAAAUCAAAUAGA